AUCAGUAAUCAUAGCAUAUAUUAUAAAUCUAUAUCCACCAUCAAUAAAUCAAACAAUAAUUGACACUCUUUUUACCAGCCUGGUAUUCAUGGGGGUUCAUAUGGAUGUCUCCGCUACACGUAAACCUUUUCAUUUAACAUUCUCAAUUAUGGGUCGUCCCCAUACCCCGUCUGGUAUGAGCACCAAUUUACCAAACUUCAAUACCCCGUCCGGUAUGAAGGUGAAGCGGGCCGUCCCCACACCCCUUCUGGUAUGAGCACAAAAUUAUCAAGUCCUCCUAUCCUAUCCGAUAUGAGACAACAUUCACGAUAGAGUUUCUUAUGUACCCGAUCCGUCCACCAUCUCCUAGGAUAUCCAGUAAGACUGCCGUUUCAUCUACUCAUUUCAUCACAUAAUUUUUACCGUUUAACCUUUGUUUUUUGCAAUUUAGCAGUAAACACAUAGAAUAAACCAUACAUGUAUUUAAAUCCAUAAAAUCAAUUAAUAAGAUACCAUCAUGCAUAUAAACUGUAAAAAUAAUUAACAAACAACAGUAGAUAAUUCUCAGUUCUUACUCCAUAGCAAUCCGUAAUUAAUUAUGCAUAUUUCCUAAAUUCACAUGAAAUCUCGUAUUAUUAUUUAUUUAGACUUCAAUUCUAUGAUAGAGAAUAGGGUGAGGGAUCCUUACUCGAUUUGAUACCCAAAAAGCUAAGCUGUUCGACUGUGCCUACGGGCGAUUCCUGAGUUCCCUGAAUUUUUUUUCAGAAAUUAAAACGCAUUAAUAG
rnacentral:lncRNA from 1 species